rnacentral:misc_RNA from 1 species
AACGCAUAUUGCGCUCUCUGGUAUCCCGGAGAGCAUGCUUGUUUGAGUAUCAGUUCCCUACUCAAGUCGAGAGGUGGAGUUUGACAUCAAUCUUCAUUUCUAAUCGACUUGGAUUUGAGUGAUUCCUAGCAUAUUGUGUUACAAUGUUGUCAGGUCACUUGAAAAGCAGGCGCGGCUGGACAUUCUUCUGAGCUAAAAGCAUAUUUAUUUAGUCUUGCUUCAUUGCUGGAUUAUUACUUUAUUGCUCUAGCUAAUAUAAAGGAAUGAUUGUUCUUGGCUGACUGAUACAGGAAUUUAACAGUUCUUUUUUUUGGAACUGUGAAUCUCGAUCUCAAAUCAAGUAAGACUACCCGCUGAACUUAA